AGAUCUCCCCCGGGACCCCCCACCCCGCAGCCCACCCACCCGAGCGCACAGCUCCUCACCUGAGGGGCCCAGUCGCGUCGGGCCUCCCGAGGGGGCUGCGAGUGUCAGUCGGCUCUCCGCACGUGUCCGCGGCCUCGCGGAGCAGCUUGAUUUUGACACAAAGCAAGAUACUGAACAUUAACACCACCACAGAGGCCUACUAUGUGCUCCUGUCCCUGUUGUUACUUCCUCCAAAGCACUGCAAGCUAUUUGGCAUAUGAAGGUCUUGACCUGAGAAAACCAUCUUGGAUAACUGCAGCAAGGAAAAGGAAAAAUGCAACACCUAGGAGAUUUCAGUAAACAGUAGAAUCAUGCCAACCUAAUCUGUGUUAAAAUGCUUGGAAUGUGGGAGCCGCUGAUGAUGCCUCUUGUCUGUGUGUCUGACUGAAUCCUUUCUUUUCUCAGAGCAGCAAAGCAAAGCCUGGGAACCAGGCCAAAUGCCUGCCACUUACCUUAAAUUGAUCAGCCACUUUGAGAUUAAAACCCCUGAAAGCUGCCACACCGUGAAAACAAGGCCUCCUUCACAUUAAAGGCAAAUUGCGACUUUG
rnacentral:lncRNA from 1 species